UACGUAGGGUGCGAGCGUUAAUCGGAAUUACUGGGCGUAAAGCGUGCGUAGGCGGUUCGUUAAGUUCGUCGUGAAAGCCCCGGGCUUAACCUGGGAAUGGCAGUGGAAACUAUGGGACUUGAAUCUGGCAGAGGGGGGUGGAAUGCCACGUGUAGCAGUGAAAUGCGUAGAGAUGUGGCGGAACACCGAUGGCGAAGGCAGCCCCCUGGGCCAAGAUUGACGCUCAGGCACGAAAGCGUGGGGAGCAAACAGG
rnacentral:rRNA from 1 species